rnacentral:lncRNA from 1 species
UCUGGUCCGUUCAAAACCUAGCCACCAUUAGAGGCCGGAGCUCCUCCUCGCGCCCUCGUUAGACGCCGAUCGCCGGGUUUCAGCCUUUCAGGUGAAUCCGCGAAUGGAAGGACAAAGAGAUGAAGAUCCGUGGGACGAAGCGGCGACAGCUCGACCAUGUCAUCGAGCUUGCGCAAACGGACAACCACAGCUAGCAAGAGCAGCAAGCGUAACGACCAGGUGCAUCACAUCCCUGAAUCCUGGAUUAUAUCUAGUUCAAAUGUUCAAUUUCUAGCCAUUAGUUAAAGCACCGAAAAGACCACCGAAGUCACCAUGGGUGAGCUUGGGGAUAGUCAUUUCUCUCUACUUGUUGAUGAGUCCCAAGAUGCAUCUAUUAGAGAACAAAUGGUUGUGAUUCUUAGGUUUCUGAACAUAAAAGGAGAUAUUUUGGAAAGGUUACUUGGUGUCAAGCACAUUGUCAACACCCCAUCUUCUUCUCUCAAACGAUCCUUGAAUGAAGUGUUUGCUACAUUAUUGCAGCAGUUGAGGGAUGAAGGAUAAGAGCCACUUUUGGAGGCUGUCACUUUCUUUUGUAUUAGAAGAGAGAUACCAGUGCCUCCUAUGAAUAAGAACAUUCCAGCAAGGGGUUACCCAAGAGUUCCCGCAAAAUGGUUAGUUGCUUUCAUCACUAUAAGAUUGAAAUAUUCAAUGAGCUUCUUGAUAGAAACAGAGCUGAAAUGAACAACCGAUUUAGUGAAACUUCUACAAGGUUAUUGAUAUGCAUCGCAAGUCUAGGUCCUAGAGACCCAUUUAGUAGAUUUAAUCAUGAGAAUCUACUUGAGCUUGCAUCUAUUUACUCAGUUGACUUUGAUACCAGUGCCAAGGUGGCGCCCCUCCCCCACGUCGAGGACUUGCUUGCUUGGGGUGCUCUUAUUGCUCUGUGUGUGCGCACGCGCGUUUUGUUGCCCCCGUUGCUGCUGGUGUGUCUCUUCUCUCUUGUAUUUAUUGUGUAAUCUGGUUUUGACAAAAUGAAUAAAAAUAUAUUCAAUUGGAAAUUCAUCCCCCCUCCUCAUCCCCUUC